rnacentral:rRNA from 1 species
UACAGAGGGUGCAAGCGUUGCUCGGAAUUAUUGGGCGUAAAGCGCGUGUAGGCGGCUUUGCAAGUCGGGUGUGAAAGCCCUCAGCUCAACUGAGGAAGUGCGCCCGAAACUGCAGAGCUUGAGUGCCGGAGAGGGUGGCGGAAUUCCCCAAGUAGAGGUGAAAUUCGUAGAUAUGGGGAGGAACACCGGUGGCUAAGGCGGCCACCUGGACGGUAACUGACGCUGAGACGCGAAAUCGUGGUGAGCAAACAGG